rnacentral:tRNA from 1 species
AGCAGUGUGGCUCAGUGGAAAGAGCACGGGCUUGGGAGUCAGAGGUCAUGGGUUUGAAUCCCAGCUCUGCCA